GAUUCUGGCUCAGGAUGAACGCUAGCUACAGGCUUAACACAUGCAAGUCGAGGGGCAUCAUGGAGUUGCUUGCAAACUCUGAUGGCGACCGGCGCACGGGUGAGUAACGCGUAUCCAACCUUCCCUAUAGUAGAGGAUAGCCCGGCGAAAGUCGGAUUAAUACUCUAUGUUUUCCGUUGCAGACAUCUAAGAUGGAACAAAGGCUUGCCGCUAUAGGAUGGGGAUGCGUCUGAUUAGGUAGUCGGCGGGGUAACGGCCCACCGAGCCAUCGAUCAGUAGGGGUUCUGAGAGGAAGGUCCCCCACAUUGGAACUGAGACACGGUCCAAACUCCUACGGGAGGCAGCAGUGAGGAAUAUUGGUCAAUGGGCGAGAGCCUGAACCAGCCAAGUAGCCGUGCAGGACGACGGCCCUAUGGGUUGUAAACUGCUUUUAUGCGGGGAUAAAGUUCACUACGUGUAGUGUUUUGUAGGUACCGCAUGAAUAAGGACCGGCUAAUUCCGUGCCAGCAGCCGC
rnacentral:rRNA from 1 species